rnacentral:rRNA from 1 species
UGGGGAAUAUUGGACAAUGGGCGCAAGCCUGAUCCAGCAAUGCCGCGUGUGUGAAGAAGGCCUUCGGGUUGUAAAGCGCUUUUAUCAGGAGCGAAACGCUGUCGGCUAAUACCCGGCGGAACUGACGGUACCUGAGGAAUAAGCACCGGCUAACUUCGUGCCAGCAGCCGCGGUAAUACGAAGGGUGCAAGCGUUAAUCGGAAUUACUGGGCGUAAAGCGUGCGUAGGCGGUUUCUUAAGUCUGCUGUGAAAUCCCCGGGCUCAACCUGGGAAUGGCAGUGGAUACUGGGAGGCUAGAGUGUGUCAGAGGGUGGUGGAAUUCCCGGUGUAGCGGUGAAAUGCGUAGAGAUCGGGAGGAACAUCAGUGGCGAAGGCGGCCACCUGGGACAACACUGACGCUGAGGCACGAAAGCGUGGGGAGCAAAACAGGAUUAGAUACCCUGGUAGUCCACGCCCUAAAACGAUGCGAACUGGAUGUUGGUCUCAACUCGGAGAUCAGUGUCGAAG